GGGAAGGUAGCUCAAUGGUAGAGUGCUUGCCUUGCAUGCUCGAGGCCCUGGGUUCGAUUCCUUAGCCCCA
rnacentral:tRNA from 1 species